CGUACAUGGCGGUGAUUUAAGACAAAUCCUUCCUGUUAUAGAGGGAGGCACUAGAUCAGAGAUAGUUAAUGCUUCAAUUACUAAUUCCCCACUGUAGCAUUAUGUUAGGAUCAUAACAUUGAAAACUAAUAUGAGAUUGUUGUCCCCUGAUCUUAGUCCUGAAGUGCAGGCUGACAUCGCUGCAUUUAGCAAAUUGGUGCUUGACCUUGGUGAGGGGGUCCUUCCUACUGAAGCCCACGAUGUUGGUAUUGAACCAGUAUGGAUAGAUAUCCCUGCUGAUUUGCUGAUUCAUACUAAUGGUGACAAACUUGCUUCCAUUGUUUCUGCUAUUUACCCAGAUUUCAAAUCCAAAUUUUCCGAUGUGUCUUAUUUAUGUGAGCGUGCUAUAUUGGCGCCGACGAAUGAAAUUGCAGAUGAAAUUAACUCAUAUGUCUUAUCGCUUGUCCCAGGUGAUGAGAAAGAAUAUCUAAGCUGUGAUAUGAUCUGUAAGUCAACAGACACAGUUGGGGAUGCAGAUUUGCUAUAUCCCCUCGAAUUCCUUAACUCAAUUACCUUAAACAGUCUCCCACAACACCACCUUAUUCUAAAGACAGGAGUUCCCAUUAUGCUGUUGCGUAAUUUGAGCUAGAUAGAAGGACUAUGUAAUGGAACACGCCUUCUCGUUACUAAUCUUGCUGCCCUAGUGAUAGAAGAAAUUAUCAUGACAGGGAAAAAUAUAGGGCGUCCUGUUUAUAUCCCUAGAAUUGUGCUAUCAUCACAGAAAAACAAAAUGCCAUUCACUUUGCAACGCUGCCAGUUCCCUGUUAAAGUGUGCUAUGGUAUGACUAUAAACAAAAGCCAAGGUCAAUCGCUAGAUAAUGUUGGUGUCUACUUACAGAGUCCUGUUUUUGCACAUGGCCAGCUGUAUGUAGCUGUCUCUAGAGUGACGUCAAAAAAAGGCCUUGUCAUCCUCAUCGAAAACGAAGAUGGUUCAUGUGGCUCUAGGACCAAAAACAUAGUCUACACUGAAGUUUUCUCUUCUUUACAAUAGUUUGUCCCUCAUUCACAUAAAAUAUACGGUUGCAACAUAUCCAGGAUACCUAUCACCUUCGCCUGUAGUAAAUCUGGAUUUGUUCUUUACUUGCCAAUACUGCCUCCCUGCGUUGUCCUAUAGACCACGUCUACUUCAGUUUUUUUCGUACCCAUCUCUCAUUCUCUUGCUUGUGUCUUUGUGCGUUUUUUGUUGCCUUGAUUUGCCUAUGGCAGCGCAUGGUGCUGGUCAUCCUGUGCUGCCUAUUUAGUUUUACUGCUGUCCUUGCAAGAACAGAUGUCAGCCGUGUCUAUGCUCAAAGAUAUCCACUCGCGGAGUAGACACUGGGUUGUCUGUACGAGAGUGUCAAGAAUGUGGGAUUAUCGUGGCGGAGUUGACGAUGGCGAUAUACGACAUAUUGACCUUGUCCUGCUGGAUGCUGAGGGAACUGCCAUGUAUGCUGAGAUUGGUUCAGAUAAUAUCAAAGAUAAAAAAACCUUUGCUUAGUGAAGGGAAGGUAUACAUGUUGAAGAGGUUCAGGGUCCUCAAGUCAAAGCCUUCUUACUGGGCUGUUGACUCAGAGUUCAUGAUUGAGAUGACCUGUCAUACUUUGAUUGAAGAGGCCAGCACCUAUGAACCUACCAUCCCGCUGUACACCUACAGGCUGACGAAAUUCCCUGAUCUGCCAGUGCUUGUUGGUGAAACAAAGCACUUCGUUGAUGUCAUUGGCCUAAUCAUAGAGGUGGUUGAUGCAACCCCAGUGCAGCUCAGUAGUCACAACAGUUCUACAACUCGAAGAGCUAUCACACUUAGAGACACCAGAUACAACAUAAUGCCCAUACUGAUUUUGGUUGCACCCUUGAAUCUUAGACGUGCUAGGAAAGCCUUUGAUAUUCCUCUUUUUUUACUUGGUUCUAAUUUUUUCCGUUCCAUAUUAGCAACUAUCAGAUCAAACUUCAUCUUUGGGGUGAGAGAGCUUCUGAAUUUGAUGCUGAUGAGGUGUAUGCCAUUGGACAAAAAGAGCCAGUCGUUGCUAUCUUCAUUGGAAUGCUUAUGAAAUCUUAUAAAGGUGAACAUUCCCUCAGUGGAAAUACAGCUUGUCGGUGGUACAUCAACCCUGAUGUCCCUGAGACCCACGAUGUCCUGCACAGCCUACAUGGCAGCUUCGAACCUAUACAGCGCAUUCCAACAGAUGACCAGACCCAUGUUGCUCAAGCUGCCAACCCUGAGCCACAGCACAGAACUUUAGAGGAAAUGUUUAGUAUUAGUCCAUACGACUUUCCACCGGAAGGCUUCCGAUGCACCGUGACUGUUUCACGUAUCGAUCCACUUGUAUCCUGGUGUUUCCCAUUGUGCAAUCGCUGCAGCAAAACUACACUUCCUGAUGGAGUUGGAUAUAAAUGCCCACACUGCAAAUGUAUGGGCUCCAAGUUCAACUGGCGGUAUACUCUGAUUACAGGUACAAGAUAUGUUUGAUGGCGAUCAAUGGCACGGAUGAAGCAGAGUUUGUGUUUUCGGUGAUAUGGGACGCCGCCUUGUUCGUAAGGAUGUCAGGCUGUUAAUGAGGUCUUAUUGUGCUGCUGAUACUAUUCCAAGCGAGAUCGCGUCGUUGGUUUCCCAAAAAUACCACCUGACAGUUAAUGUAACCAGCAAGUGUUUCAAAAAACCACAAUGCUCAUAUGAGGUAAAGUGCAUUCAUUGUGCCUACGGCCGUCAAACUACCAUUCCAACAAUCAGAAAGACCAGCAGUGCAUCCCUUGAUGAGACGCGCAAAGCGGUUUUAUCAAUUGGCUGUUCAUCUGGACCUUUGAAACCACACAAAGGCCCUGACGUCGACAUCUCCUCUCUACCUCAGAACCUGGAAGAUACGCCACCACCGAAACUAUCUCCAAAACUUCCCACGUUAAAAAACAAACAGCCUCCUUUCUCUACUGAGCACCCAACUGCUACGAACCAAGGCAGGAAUGUGCGUAGGCAAUUACUCAUGAGUUCAGAUUCAACUGCCCAGGGUUCCGACAAGCACGAUGACUCUCUUGAUGAUAGCCAGGCCCACGAUUUGCGUACUCCUACUACUAGGUCUCCGCUUCGUCCUGAUGUUGACAGCAGUUCUAAUGUUCCCUCCGGUGGACAUACCUCAGCCUAAUGAGCCUUCUUUCCAUUCCUCAACAAAAUAGCUGACGUCAGCAGGAACACUGAAUUUGUCUUCCACCAUCACCCCGUGUGCCAACUCAACUAGCAUUCCUAUACAGCUGCAGUUUUACAGCCAUGGAGAUAGCUGAACUAUCACCGGUUCUCAUCUUACGUGAGGUACUCAGGCAUUUAGGCUUGCCGCAAGCAGUAUACGCUCAUGCAAUGGUAGCAGACGGACACCACCAAACAUCUGUGCAUCUGUCUUUGCCUCCCGCACUAACCCAGGAUCAAACCGCCGCCUAUUGUAUAAUGGGAAGGCUUAGGAACACUAUACUGGGUGCAGAGAAAGACGCUGCAUACCACACACUACUUUUCCUGCAAUAGACAACAAACCUUCAAGUACGUGACUACAACUACCUCUUACUUACCAAGCUCAGGCAGAUCAUCAGACGAAUUUUCGCUCAGCACCUUACCAUGGCGAAUGAAAUUCAAACAUUACUUAAUGCUUGGGAGAAAAUGACUAUCCAGUUAUAUGCAUCGUCAAGCAAUGUGGAAGAUACCUUAUUAUCCUAUUUCUCUUCGGACCCUACCCGCCCUUACUCAGGUGAAAUCUGCACUAUGCUUUCUCAUAUUAAGCAAGUCGCACAAACUGUACAAAAUUCCUCUCGCGCCUCACUUGCAAAGAUCAAACAGUUCGAGCAACAAUACUUCAAUCUCUAUAGAUGUUUAUCUUCAGACAAUAACUCUGUUGCUUUCCAAACGCCAGAGCUACAUCGCAUGCCCAUCGUCACUCUCUCUCCCAAGUUUAAGCUCACUGAGAUGCUGACAGCACUUCAACUUCCCAUGCCAACAUACACUCGCAUCGAAACAUAUGGGGAUGAAUAUGGCAGCUGCAUCCAAUUUUAUCCCAAUAUCAAUUUAUUCAUCCACGAUGGCCCACGACAAAAAAUCUGUGGUUUCGCACCAGCUUCAGUACACGCUGCUGAAGAAGCGGCUGCUCUCCAAGCGAUUGCAUAUAUGGAAUCGGAAACACGCAUUCAACUACGAGGUUUCAACUACCCUACAAAGGAAAGUGCCUUAGAUGAGCAUAGGUCUUCAUUAAAAGAAACACAGAAGCAGACAAAAGCGAUGGGAAUUAUCUCUAAAAAUUGGAACACUGCCAUGAAUGAGAUUGCAACGGCUUGUGAUCUAUUCAAUUCUAAUUUCUUCUGUGAGCUGAAAUGCAAUUCUGAAAUAACUUCACAACCAGGCGUCCUGUCUAUUAUCAAGCAUAUGGAAUCAGUCAUGGCGUAAAUACGCGGGUCUCUUCAACAAGCAGCACACACCUUCCAUGAACAUGGUGUCUGCCCAUUCAGCGCAGCUACCGAAUAAUAGCUUCACCGUGUCCCUGGCCAAACCACUUCCUAUCACAUACAUAUGAAGCGUCUUUGCUAUUCUAUACAUCUUUAAUUCCCUGAACUCGGACCAGCACUUUAUAAUGACAUCUCAAUGUAAACAGUUGCCUUAACCUGUGGUUGUACAAGUUAUCUUUCCCCUAAUAUAUCUUGCGGUCCUCCCUUG